GCCAGACUCCUACGGGAGGCAGCAGUGAGGAAUAUUGGUCAAUGGGCGAGAGCCUGAACCAGCCAAGUCGCGUGAGGGAAGACGGUCCUAUGGAUUGUAAACCUCUUUUGUCGGGGAGCAAAAGACGCCACGCGUGGCGUUCCGAGAGUACCCGAAGAAAAAGCAUCGGCUAACUCCGUGCCAGCAGCCGCGGUAAUACGGAGGAUGCGAGCGUUAUCCGGAUUUAUUGGGUUUAAAGGGUGCGUAGGCGGAUUUUUAAGUCAGCGGUAAAAUGUCCGGGCUCAACCCGGGCCGGCCGUUGAAACUGGGGAUCUUAAGUGGGCGAGAAGUAUGCGGAAUGCGUGGUGUAGCGGUGAAAUGCAUAGAUAUCGCGCAGAACUCCGAUUGCGAAGGCAGCAUGCCGGCUCCACACUGACGCUGAGGCACGAAAGCGUGGGUAUCGAACAGGAUUAGAUACCCGUGUAU
rnacentral:rRNA from 1 species